AGCGAACGCUGGCGGCAGGCCUAACACAUGCAAGUCGAACGAAGUCUUCGGACUUAGUGGCGGACGGGUGAGUAACACGUGGGAACGUGCCUUUAGGUUCGGAAUAACUCAGGGAAACUUGUGCUAAUACCGAAUGUGCCCUUCGGGGGAAAGGUUUAUCGCCUUUAGAGCGGCCCGCGUCUGAUUAGCUAGUUGGUGAGGUAAAGGCUCACCAAGGCUACGAUCAGUAGCUGGUCUGAGAGGAUGGCCGGCCACAUUGGGACUGAGACACGGCCCAAACUCCUACGGGAGGCAGCAGUGGGGAAUUUUGCGCAAUGGGCGAAAGCCUGACGCAGCCAUGCCGCGUGGAUGAUGAAGGUCUUAGGAUUGUAAAAUCCUUUCACCGGUGAAGAUAAUGACUGUAGCCGGAGAAGAAGCCCCGGCUAACUUCGUGCCAGCAGCCGCAGUAACAC
rnacentral:rRNA from 1 species